GGGCGCUUCCGGUCGGCCAUGUUGGCUCCGCGGGGCACGCCGGGAGCUGUAGUUUCUGCGCUCUCGGUCCCCGCAGCUGCGGCGCUCGCGGCACGGCACAGCCCUCGGUACCGGCGCGGCCCCGCGGCGCAGCCCGAGGGGCGGGUUCGUGGCGGUUUCCCGCGGGCUGCCCGCGGCUCCCCGAGACGCGGUGUGCCCCCGGCCCGAGAGUGCGCAUGCGCGGCCGCGGCGUCCCCCGGGAGUGCGCAUGCGCGGUGGAGGUGAGUGGCGCGGCUCCGGCCGGGCAGACCCGCGGCAAGAACGGUCCGUGUCGCCUCUGUCCCCCUCCCGAGGCCGCGCGGGUCCGUUCCUGCCCUGGGCAUGCCGCCGACUGCGCCCAGCUCGGGCUGGCGCUUCUCACGGCUCGGGGGCCAAAAGGGACGGGCGGAGCCUUCCCGGCCGUGGGCAGCGGGAGGGAGCCGCCGCGGCUGGAGCUGGAGGGGCCGGAGAAAGGGAAGGACGGAGAACAUCGAGGGCACGUGGGCAGCAGCCGCCUGGCCCUGCAGGAGGAGAGCGCCUGCCUCUCCGGGGGGAGGUCAGCCAGGCGAGUGGAGUUUCAGAAGAAGAGGAGGGGCAGGAGGAAGGAAGGAGAAAGAAGCAUUUGGCCUGUCCCAUUCUCCCGGCAGUGCCGAGAGCGAGAGCUGUGGUGAGUCCCGGGCCCUCGGGGCCCUGUCACCCUCCUUUUGUGUCCCAGUUCCUUCCUGCCCCUCUCUUUCCCAUGCUGUGAUUUAUUUUUUUUCCUUCUCUACCUUUUCAUUCUAUUCUUCUGCCUUGCUCCCCCUUCCUCUCUCUUGUCUUGCUGCUUCGUUUUCUUUUUCUGUCUGCACUUCUGACUGCUUGUUCUGUACCUUUCGCAUCACUCUCACUCCUCAGUCCAUUUCUCUCUCGACCCUUCCGUUCUGCUCCUCACUUAUUAGUAUCUCUCUCUUUCCUCUGUCCUACUCCUGCACGUAGUGUGUCAUUGAAUGAGGUUCUGUGUCUAGCAGGCCUCAUCUCGUAAGAGCUGUGAGACGCCUACCUAUUCUCAUAAGUGGAGGUCAGCCAGGCACCUGGAGCUGUAGAAGAGGAAGGGAGAAGGCAAACAGAAGGAAGUCUGACCUGUCAAAUUCUCCUGGCAGCGCGGAGAACUGCAGUAAGUCUCGAGCACUUGGGCCCCUAUCAUCCCUCUUGUGUGUCCUGGUCCCUCCCUGUCUUUCUCCUAGACUCCUCUCUUUCUGGUGCUGCUCAACUUUUUUUGCUCACCUGUAUCUUCUGUUUUGCUUGAAGCAUCUCCCUGUCCCCAUCUUGUAGGUUUUCCCUUCCUCUGCCCUGUACCCUGCCGCUCUUGUUGCCUUUCUCCAUCCCUCUCUGUUCAGCUCCCUGCUCCUAUUGAUUCCUCUUUCUUCUUCCUGCACC
rnacentral:lncRNA from 1 species